AAUAGAUACCCGGGUAGUCCAUGCCGUAAACGUUGGGCACUAGGUGUGGGGCUCAUUCCACGAGUUCCGUGCCGCAGCAAACGCAUUAAGUGCCCCGCCUGGGGAGUACGGCCGCAAGGCUAAAACUCAAAGGAAUUGACGGGGGCCCGCACAAGCGGCGGAGCAUGCGGAUUAAUUCGAUGCAACGCGAAGAACCUUACCAAGGCUUGACAUGCACGGGAAGCCACCAGAGAUGGUGGUCUCUUUGGACACUCGUGCACAGGUGGUGCAUGGUUGUCGUCAGCUCGUGUCGUGAGAUGUUGGGUUAAGUCCCGCAACGAGCGCAACCCUCGUCCCAUGUUGCCAGCGGGUUAUGCCGGGGACUCAUGGGAGACUGCCGGGGUCAACUCGGAGGAAGGUGGGGAUGACGUCAAAUCAUCAUGCCCCUUAUGUCUUGGGCUUCACGCAUGCUACAAUGGCCGGUACAAAGGGCUGCGAUACCGUAAGGUGAGCGAAUCCCAAAAGCCGGUNUCAGUUCGGAUUGGGUCUGACC
rnacentral:rRNA from 1 species